UCUAACAAUCUCGCAGUGGCUAGGAUUUGCCGCUCUCAUCAGAAGAGUUCGCUUGUGCGCGCCGGCAAGGCCCGGGUUCGAUUCCCGGUGUCGGAA